rnacentral:rRNA from 1 species
GAGUUUGAUCCUGGCUCGGACGAACGCUGGCGGCGUGCCUAAUACAUGCAAGUCGAGCGCGUGAAAUCAAACAGAUCCUUCGGGUGACGUUUGGUGGAUCGAGCGGCGGACGGGUGAGUAACACGUGGGCAACCUGCCUGUAAGACUGGGAUAACUCCGGGAAACCGGGGCUAAUACCGGAUAACUUCUGAUCUAACAUGAGAUCAGGAUAAAAGAUGGUUUCGGCUAUCACUUACAGAUGGGCCCGCGGCGCAUUAGCUAGUUGGUGAGGUAACGGCUCACCAAGGCGACGAUGCGUAGCCGACCUUAGAGGGUGAUCGGCCACACUGGGACUGAGACACGGCCCAGACUCCUACGGGAGGCAGCAGUAGGGAAUCUUCCGCAAUGGACGAAAGUCUGACGGAGCAACGCCGCGUGAGUGAUGAAGGUUUUCGGAUCGUAAAGCUCUGUUGUUAGGGAAGAACAAGUACGAGAGUAACUGCUCGUACCUUGACGGUACCUAACCAGAAAGCCACGGCUAACUACGUGCCAGCAGCCGCGGUAAUACGUAGGUGGCAAGCGUUGUCCGGAAUUAUUGGGCGUAAAGCGCGCGCAGGCGGUUUCUUAAGUCUGAUGUGAAAGCCCACGGCUCAACCGUGGAGGGUCAUUGGAAACUGGGGAACUUGAGUGCAGAAGAGGAGAGCGGAAUUCCACGUGUAGCGGUGAAAUGCGUAGAGAUGUGGAGGGACACCAGUGGCGAAGGCGGCUCUCUGGUCUGUAACUGACGCUGAGGCGCGAAAGCGUGGGGAGCAAACAGGAUUAGAUACCCUGGUAGUCCACGCCGUAAACGAUGAGUGCUAAGUGUUAGAGGGUUUCCGCCCUUUAGUGCUGAAGUUAACGCAUUAAGCGCUCCGCCUGGGGAGUACGACCGCAAGGUUGAAACUCAAAGGAAUUGACGGGGGCCCGCACAAGCGGUGGAGCAUGUGGUUCAAUUCGAAGCAACGCGAAGAACCUUACCAGGUCUUGACAUCCUCUGACAAUCCUAGAGAUAGGACGUUCCCUUCGGGGACAGAGUGACAGGUGGUGCAUGGUUGUCGUCAGCUCGUGUCGUGAGAUGUUGGGUUAAGUCCCGCAACGAGCGCAACCCUUGAUCUUAGUUGCCAGCAUUAAGUUGGGCACUCUAAGGUGACUGCCGGUGACAAACCGGAGGAAGGUGGGGAUGACGUCAAAUCAUCAUGCCCCUUAUGACCUGGGCUACACACGUGCUACAAUGGAUGGUACAAAGGGCAGCAAGACCGCGAGGUUUAGCCAAUCCCAUAAAACCAUUCUCAGUUCGGAUUGUAGGCUGCAACUCGCCUACAUGAAGCUGGAAUCGCUAGUAAUCGCGGAUCAGCAUGCCGCGGUGAAUACGUUCCCGGGCCUUGUACACACCGCCCGUCACACCACGAGAGUUUGUAACACCCGAAGUCGGUGGGGUAACCUUUAUGGAGCCAGCCGCCUAAGGUGGGACAGAUGAUUGGGGGAAGUCGAACAAGGUAGCCGGACUGCAGGCUGCAGCUG